GCGCCGGUGGUAUAAAGGCGUAGAGCAUUCCCGCCCGGUCAGUGGGAGGUGCGGGUUCGAGUCCCGCCUGGCGCU
rfam:Heligmosomoides polygyrus genome assembly, scaffold: HPBE_contig0000619